rnacentral:rRNA from 1 species
GACGAACGCUGGCGGCGUGCUUAACACAUGCAAGUUGAACGGAAAGGCCCUGCUUUUGUUGGGUGCUCGAGUGGCGAACGGGUGAGUAACACGUGAGUAACCUGCCCUUGACUUUGGGAUAACUUCAGGAAACUGGGGCUAAUACCGGAUAGGAGCUCCUGCUGCAUGGUGGGGGUUGGAAAGUUUCGGCGGUUGGGGAUGGACUCGCGGCUUAUCAGCUUGUUGGUGGGGUAGUGGCUUACCAAGGCUUUGACGGGUAGCCGGCCUGAGAGGGUGACCGGGCACAUUGGGACUGAGAUAAGGCCCAGACUCCUACGGGAGGCAGCAGUGGGGAAUAUUGCACAAUGGGCGGAAGCCUGAUGCAGCAACGCCGCGUGCGGGAUGACGGCCUUCGGGUUGUAAACCGCUUUCGCCUGUGACGAAGCGUGAGUGACGGUAAUGGGUAAAGAAGCACCGGCUAACUACGUG